rnacentral:rRNA from 1 species
GAAAUGCGAUAAGUAAUGUGAAUUGCAGAAUUCAGUGAAUCAUCGAAUCUUUGAACGCACCUUGCACUCCUUGGUAUUCCGAGGAGUACGCCUGUUCGAGUGUUAUGA